rnacentral:misc_RNA from 1 species
AAUUCUCAACUUCAUUAGUUUCUUAAUUGAGCUAACUGAAGCUUGGAUGUUGGAGGCUUGCUGGUGUCUAUUAAGAUAUUCGGCUCCUCUUAAAUGCAUUAGUGGAUCCCAUUUGUUGGAACUACCUUGGUGUGAUAAUUAUCUACGCUUGGGUUAGUUUGACAUCUCUAUUGAGCAUUGUUCAGAGACACUAGUGUGUCUGGUCAGGGUAUUUGCAUUGGUGUGCUUUACCUGGUUCAUUAGAGCUAAGGGCUUUAUCUGCUUUCUAACCGUCUAUUGUUACUAAUGGACAAUUUGCUUUGACU